rnacentral:rRNA from 1 species
UACGGAGGGUGCAAGCGUUUAUCCGGAUUCACUGGGUUUAAAGGGUGCGUAGGCGGGUAGGUAAGUCAGUGGUGAAAUCUUCGAGCUUAACUCGGAAACUGCCUUUGAUACUAUCUAUCUUGAAUAUUGUGGAGGUAAGCGGAAUAUGUCAUGUAGCGGUGAAAUGCUUAGAUAUGACAUAGAACACCUAUUGCGAAGGCGCUACUACGCAUAUAUUGACGCUGAGCACGAAAGCGUGGGGAUCAAACAGGA